ensembl:lncRNA
UACUCAGAGGACAUGAAGAACAAAAACAGAUUGCCACAAAAAAAUAAAUAAAUUCUGAUCUAAAGUUUCCCUCAGAUGCUCAAAGACACCUGUGCUUUGUCAGAACUUUGUGAUAUACCAUAAAAGUUCCAUUUAUCUGGGAGAAUGAAGGUUUUACCAGCAGAGGAAGGUAGGUAAGAAUGGCACACCUGUUGCAGGAAUCACCCAGGAGAUUUACAGUCUGAUUUACCAGUCAGAUGUGAUUUUGUCUAUCUGUGUCUUGAAAGUCACCAAGAAUGAGCCUAAAAUCACCUGUCUGCACAGCUUGUUCUAGCAUUGUAACACCCUCCUGAUGAAAGGUUUUUCCCUGAACCUCCAAAUUGGCAAUUUCUGGGGAUUUUUCUCUGUUAUAUUGUCUGCUUCUACUUGAUCUGCCUUUGUAACUCCAGAUGCAGUCAAAUUUCCCAAGAUCCCUCUGGACCAAAGCAAGGUGUCAAGAGAUUCCCUUCCUGUUUACUUUGUGCUGGCUCCUCCUUGAUUUGAUCCCAAUAAAUUCUCUAUUUGCACCUAAUUGCUUUAUUCCAAGGGUAUUUCCUCCAGACAGGGGUGGAAGAAACACUAUUUGUGCUCUUAAAUGCAGAUUUACUGGAAGCUAGGGCACACAGCUAGUUUGCAGACACAGAUACCUGGGCACUCAGAGUACCUGGGCUGCUCCUGCCUCUGGGCUGUGGCACCAAACAGAUGGGGAUUUGCCUCCUUUCACCAGGCUGCAAGCUGAAAAGUGCAAAGCUGCUCCAGCCAUCCAUAUGUUCAGAAGGAUGGAGAAAAUGUGAAGGAAAGUUUUGCUGAUGAGAUGCUUGUCUGCCUCCUUACAAACACACUGGACCAGAUCUUCUGCUGUUCCUUUGCUGGCUUCCACCUCAUUGAAGGUAACAGAAAUCCUCUGGCCUCAUCCCCAGCCCAGAGUGUAACAGCUGGCUCUGCAGCUCAAGCACCAGCAGACAAGAGCAGGAGCCCUGACAGCAACCAAAAAGGGGAGGAUGGCACAAUUCACUGCUCCUGCAGGCCUGAACAUUUCCCAGCAAUUCAGCAAUGGCCAGCUGAAAGAAAUCCAAGGUGGUUUCAGAGCACCAAGUUUAGCGUCAAUCCACGGUGGCCAGCACGGUGAGCACUGCACAGCCAAAAUCUGUGAGCCUGUUUCAGAGAUCCAGGAGGUGCACACAGCAGUUUGAGGUCAGAACUUCCUCUGAGGUUUGCAUGUCAUUCCCAAGGGAUGGUGAGCAUUCAUUUACCUUGAAAACCUGUAAAUGAUGGAACUGGUGGGUUCAUAUAGCUGUAGGGUCUAAUGCUUGUACAGCUGCCAUGUGGCAAGAAAUUUUCCAUAAAAAUGAUGAUAAAAACACAAGAUAAUUACUUUCUGUAUCCCUCAGCCUAAACUUGGGUUAUAAACUAGGCCUUGUGCUAGAUUAAACCCCACCUCUCCUCUGAGUACCUCCGUGUUACCUGCUUGCUCCUGGUGUGCUGCUCUCCUGAUAAUCAGUCCUUAGUUGCAGUUGUCUGCCACACUUCUCUGAAAAACACUUGGCUUCAUUCAUUUGGGAUUUUAUUUCUCAGUGUGAAAAGAUGUGAUUAGAUAAAGGAAACAUGAACUGAUUGUUGUAGCCCUGUACCAGCAGCUUGUUUUGGCUUGACACCAGGGUUUAAACAGAACACACAACUGCAAGCCUGAGGAAGCAAGGCACAGGUCUGAAUACUCACAGCACGGGGGUCACUGAGGUGUUUCUGCAGAAAGGACAGUGUGCAGCCCAGGAGCUGUGUCCAGCUGGGCAGGCAGCUGGAGUGCACCAUCAAUUAGCAGAGCCAGCAGUGGUGUGUAACUGGGAGUGUAGAGUGCCACUGGUGAGGGAGAACCUCAGACUGGAAACCUGGACUGCAAUGUAGGCUGAAAUUACUUUCUCAGGAUAAGGUUGGAGACUUCCACUGUGCGGGAGGAAUUACCAAGACACCCUGGUAACAUCCCUAAGGAGAAGUUUCACAAGUAUUGAGUCCUCAGUGGUUUUGUAAUAAACAACCCAACGAGCCCA